GGGCCCGCACAAGCAGUGGAGCAUGUGGAUUAAUUCGACGCAACGCGAAGAACCUUACCAAGAUUUGACAUGGGAACUAAAGCCCUAGAAAUAGGGUCAUAUCAGGUCUACACAGGUGGUGCAUGGUUGUCGUCAGCUCGUGUCGUGAGAUGUUGGGUUAAGUCCCGCAACGAGCGCAACCCUUGUCCUUAGUUGCCAUCAUUAAGUUGGGAACUCUAGGGAUACUGCCGAUGUAAGUCGGAGGAAGGUGGGGAUGACGUCAAAUCAUCAUGCCCUUUAUAUCUUGGGCGUCACACGUGCUACAAUGGCCGGUACAAAGAGAAGCAAAACCGCGAGGUCAAGCAAAUCUCAUAAAGCCGGUCUCAGUUCGGAUCGGAGUCUGCAACUCGACUCCGUGAAGCUGGAAUUGCUAGUAAUCGCAGAUCAGCCAUGCUGCGGUGAAUACGUUCCCGGGCCUU
rnacentral:rRNA from 1 species